GAGUUUGAUCCUGGCUCAGGAUGAACGCUAGCGGCAGGCUUAAUACAUGCAAGUCGAGGGGCAGCAGCUUUAUAGCAAUAUAGAGGCUGGCGACCGGCAAACGGGUGCGGAACACGUACACAACCUUCCUUGAAUAGGGGGAUAGCCCAUAGAAAUGUGGAUUAAUACCCCGUAAUAUAGCGGUGUGGCAUCACACUGUUAUUAUAGUUUCGGCGAUUCGAGAUGGGUGUGCGGCUGAUUAGGUAGUUGGCGGGGUAAAGGCCCACCAAGCCUUCGAUCAGUAGCUGAUGUGAGAGCAUGAUCAGCCACACGGGCACUGAGACACGGGCCCGACUCCUACGGGAGGCAGCAGUAAGGAAUAUUGGUCAAUGGACGCAAGUCUGAACCAGCCAUGCCGCGUGAAGGAUGAAGGUCCUCUGGAUUGUAAACUUCUUUUAUAGGGGGCGAAAAAAGGUCUUUCUAGAUCACUUGACAGUACCCUAUGAAUAAGCACCGGCUAACUCCGUGCCAGCAGCCGCGGUAAUACGGAGGGUGCAAGCGUUAUCCGGAUUCACUGGGUUUAAAGGGUGCGUAGGCGGGUAGGUAAGUCAGAGGUGAAAUCCUGGAGCUUAACUCCAGAACUGCCUUUGAUACUAUCUAUCUUGAAUAUGGUGGAGGUAAGCGGAAUAUGUCAUGUAGCGGUGAAAUGCAUAGAUAUGACAUAGAACACCUAUUGCGAAGGCAGCUUACUACGCCUAUAUUGACGCUGAGGCACGAAAGCGUGGGGAUCAAACAGGAUUAGAUACCCUGGUAGUCCACGCCCUAAACGAUGAUUACUCGACGUAUGCGAUACACAGUAUGCGUCUGAGCGAAAGCAUUAAGUAAUCCACCUGGGAAGUACGACCGCAAGGUGAAACUCAAAGGAUUGGCGGGGGUCCGCMMAAGCGGKGGARCAUGGUGGUUUAAUUCGAUGAWMSCGARGACCUUACCUGGGCUAGAUGCAGUCUGACCGUGGGUGAAAGCYCAUUUCGUAGCAUACGCAGAUGUAGGUGCUGCAUGCCUGUCGUCAGCUCGUGCCGUGAGGKUUGGGUUAGUUCCGCCACGASCAACCCAWACUAUGCAACGUAAGCUGAACYUAUGUAACKKYGCGCYCUAAGACGCCGRGGAAGUAG
rnacentral:rRNA from 1 species